CAGAAACUUCCUCGUCUUCUUCAUAUGGAUUUCAGUGUAACAAUAUAAUUUUAGCCUCUGCGUCCAGACCGACUCUAGAUCCUACACGGCCUCUUAUCCAAUGGGUAUCGGUGUUCUUUUCUGAGGGUAAACAGCGGCCAGGGUGUGAUGCUGACCGCUUACCCGAUCUAGUGCCGAGGUCAAGAAUGAGCAGGAGCUAUAACCCCUCCCCGCAAGCGACCUGCAUGGCGUGCAAGCGGACUGAUUCGCUUUAUUUUUUUUUACUUUACUACGGAAUUUUCCUGGAGAGACUGAGGAAAACCACAAAAGGCUAGUCAGAAUAGAAAUUUGAUCCCGGGACCUUCCCUAAUACAAUGCCGGAUUUCUUACCACUCCACUAAUGUUUAUUGCCUAUAUUAUUUUUUAUCUUUAUCCUCUGGAUAUAUGUAUUGCUACAUAUGUACGAAAAUUAUAAAUAACAGUCUAUUUGUAAAACUAAUGGGAUUGUUAUUUUUCAACGUAGUGUUUAUUUAUGUCAUCAGAUUCACACAAAUUGCUUCCAAAGCCGUUGUCAUAAAACAUUUCAGAUAUUACCAACAUAAGGCAGCGUGAGAAGUCGACGGAUUUGUCAGACACGGUAAACAUCUAAUAAAUUACUCUUCUGGUGUUCAGAAGACAAUGGAAUGAAAGGCGAAAAGAUAUUAAAGGUUCUGACAGCGGUGAAGAUUUCGAUGUUGUUCUUGACAGCUAAAUAUGGAGGCAGUACGUUCCUCCUAAAUGGUAUCUACUAAUACGUUCACACAGCGUUGCUGCCCGGACAUCAACGACAUUAUGACCCUUUGAUAAUACAAAGAGGGUCGAACUAGCCUUAUCUGUAGCCACAGAAGAAUUACACAGCAAAUCCUGUGGAUGUUUCUAUCAGAACUUUUGGCGGAUCAAGCCUUGCAGCACUUGGAAGCUCAUUUGAAGACUUGGGCUUAUUCAUCUAACUGAAUCAACUGUGAAGUAUUACAUUGUAUCGGAAUAUUUUAAGAUAUGCGAGUAUAUUAUCAAAUAACAUAAUAUGGUAACACAAUAUAAACAAAGGAUAACCAAGCUUGCCAGAAGGCAACAACAGCAGAAACAACGUUCACCGUUAUGAAACAAAAAUAUUCACACAAUCUGAAAGUUAUGCUGUUACACUACAGUGAUUAAUGUUGUUAUAUAAUAUCGAGUAAAAUUAAGAUGAUGUGUACAGAUGAUUCUGUGAUGAGUCACCUAGGAAACCAAACACAAUGUAACUUCUUGAGAAGCUGAGACUCGCCUAGCUAGUCAACGGAAGUUCAUUUUCGUGUUCAGAAGCGCCCCUUAAUGGAUCCUGUCCAGGCCAGAUGAAUUAAGUGCUCACCCUCAGAGUAUAUUCUUAUAUUAUACUUUCAUUUACGCCUAGGUCUUUCAAGUAUUCUCUUCCCUUCAAGUUUUCUGAUUAAAGUGUUGUGUAAAUUUUCAUAUCUACCUUGCAUUAGCCUUUUGGGAUAAAAGGCUCCUGCAGAAAUCUAUAUUUAAAAGACACUGGAAUAAAAUGAGAUAAGUAACGGAAUGAAGAACUCGAACUGAUGAUUACAACCAAAAAAAAUAGUUGAAAAAAGUUACGCGGUAAAUUAUAUGGUUGUAAUAAAGGCCAACUCAAGUCGUAUCUUGAAUCAAUAGUUAAAUAAUACAGGAAUGGAUGUAAAGAAAAACUAUCUAAAUCUACCCCUUGAAGCUUUUAAAUAAAUCCCAAGUUUUAAUGGUCUAUCGACUUAACUGCCAGCAUUGAGUAAAACGUAGCAGUUAAUAAAGGAAGAUUCACGUCCUACAUUAACCACGAGAGGUCAAAUUAGAAGCUUGUAAGA